ensembl:snRNA U4 U4 spliceosomal RNA
AGCUUUGCGCAGUGGCAGUAUCGUAGCCAAUGAGGUUUAUCCGAGGCGCGAUUAUUGCUAAAAUACUGAUUACAAAAUAUAUGAAGGCUGGUCAAUUCUUACAUUUUGAGUUAUUUUGUGUGAGAACAAAGGGCUGUU